rnacentral:rRNA from 1 species
GAUACUCCGGGAACCGGGGCUAAUACCGGAUGGUUGUUUGAACCGCAUGGUUCAAACAUAAAAGGUGGCUUCGGCUACCACUUACAGAUGGACCCGCGGCGCAUUAGCUAGUUGGUGAGGUAAUGGCUCACCAAGGCAACGAUGCGUAGCCGACCUGAGAGGGUGAUCGGCCACACUGGGACUGAGACACGGCCCAGACUCCUACGGGAGGCAGCAGUAGGGAAUCUUCCGCAAUGGACGAAAGUCUGACGGAGCAACGCCGCGUGAGUGAUGAAGGUUUUCGGAUCGUAAAGCUCUGUUGUUAGGGAAGAACAAGUACCGUUCGAAUAGGGCGGUACCUUGACGGUACCUAACCAGAAAGCCACGGCUAACUACGUGCCAGCAGC